CCUACGGGAGGCAGCAGUGAGGAAUAUUGGUCAAUGGACGAGAGUCUGAACCAGCCAAGUAGCGUGAAGGAUGACUGCCCUAUGGGUUGUAAACUUCUUUUAUAUGGGAAUAAAAUGUUCCACGUGUGGGAUUUUGUAUGUACCAUAUGAAUAAGGAUCGGCUAACUCCGUGCCAGCAGCCGCGUUAAUACGGAGGAUCCGAGCGUUAUCCGGCUUUAUUGGGUUUAAAGGGAGCGUAGGUGGAUUGUUAAGUCAGUUGUGAAAGUUUGCGGCUCAACCGUAAAAUUGCAGUUGAAACUGGCAGUCUUGAGUACAGUAGAGGUGGGCGGAAUUAGUGGUGUAGCGGUGAAAUGCUUAGAUAUCACGAAGAACUCCGAUUGCGAAGGCAGUUCACUGGACUGCAACUGACACUGAGGCUCGAAAGUGUGGGUAUCAAACAGGAUUAGAUACCCUUGUAGUC
rnacentral:rRNA from 1 species